UGGUAAUUCUGUUAGGUAUAUUCAAACCAAUUCAAAUAGCACUAGGCAGCCAUCAUAAAAAAAAAAUCCAAACCACAGAAAUACAAAAUGACCUUAAAAAAGUCAAAUACUCUUACUUGUUGUGAAAGAUCUUUUAUUUGUACUUCCAUU